rnacentral:rRNA from 1 species
GACGAACCGUGCGAACGUUAUUCGGAAUCACUGGGCUUAAAGCGCGUGUAGGCGGGAGGGCACGUCCGUUGCUGAAAUCCCCCGGCUCAACCGGGGAACGGGCGCGGAUACGACUCUCCUUGAGGGGCGUAGGGGGACCUGGAACUUCCGGUGGAGCGGUGAAAUGCGUUGAGAUCGGAAGGAACGCCCGUGGCGAAGGCGGCCUGCUGGGCUGACCCUGACACUGAGGCGCGAAGGCGUGGGGAGCGAACGGG